GAUGAAGAACGUAGCGAAAUGCGAUAAGUAAUGCGAAUUGCAGAAUCCGUGAGUCAUCGAAUCUUUGAACGCACAUUGCGCCCGCCAGUAUUCUGGCGGGCAUGCCUGUUCGAGCGUCAUUUCAACCCUCAGGCCCCCAGUGCCUGGUGUUGGGGAUCGGCCCAGCCUUCCUGUAAGGCCGCCGGCCCCGAAAUCUAGUGGCGGUCUCGCUGUAGUCCUCCUCUGCGUAGUAGCACAACCUCGCAGUUGGAACGCGGCGGUGGCCAUGCCGUUAAACACCCCACUUCUGAAAGUUGACCUCGGAUCAGGUAGGAAUACCCGCUGAACUUAAGCAUAUCAAUAAGCGGAGGA
rnacentral:misc_RNA from 1 species